UACGUAGGGUGCGAGCGCUAAUCGGAAUUACUGGGCGUAAAGCGUGCGCAGGCGGUUUUGUAAGCCAGAUGUGAAAUCCCCGGGCUCAACCUGGGAAUGGCAUUUGGGACUGCAAGGCUGGAGUGCGGCAGAGGAGACUGGAAUUCCUGGUGUAGCAGUGAAAUGCGUAGAUAUCAGGAGGAAUACCGAUGGCGAAGGCAGGUCUCUGGGCUGACACUGACGCUCAUGCACGAAAGCGUGGGGAGCAAACAGG
rnacentral:rRNA from 1 species